rnacentral:rRNA from 1 species
AUUGAACGCUGGCGGCAUGCUUUACACAUGCAAGUCGAACGGUAACAGGCCGCAAGGUGCUGACGAGUGGCGAACGGGUGAGUAAUGCAUCGGAACGUGCCCAGUCGUGGGGGAUAACGCAGCGAAAGCUGCGCUAAUACCGCAUACGAUCUAUGGAUGAAAGCGGGGGACCGUAAGGCCUCGCGCGAUUGGAGCGGCCGAUGUCAGAUUAGGUAGUUGGUGGGGUAAAGGCUCACCAAGCCGACGAUCUGUAGCUGGUCUGAGAGGACGAGCAGCCACACUGGGACUAAGACACGGCGCAGACUCCUACGGGAGGCAGCAGUGGGGAAUUUUGGACAAUGGGGGCAACCCUGAUCCAGCAAUGCCGCGUGCAGGAAGAAGGCCUUCGGGUUGUAAACUGCUUUUGUACGGAACGAAACGGCUCUGGUUAAUACCCGGGGCUAAUGACGGUACCGUAAGAAUAAGCACCGGCUAACUACGUGCCAGCCGCCGCCGUAA